CAGCGUAACAAAAAGUAUCAGAAACCUCUUCCAGAAAAUCCAAAAACACUUAGAAAACUACUCCCACUUCAGCAGUACUAAACAUUGUACAAUAAGUAAAAACUUGAUACAGCUACAGAAAAGAAAACCGGUAAAUUAUGUGCCAGCCACCGCGGUUAUACAUAAGGACCUAGCCAAGAACCAACGGCACAAAAGUGACAAAACAUGAGAACAACAAUAACUCCAGCAGUAACAAGCUCACAGAACACUAAGAACAACAAAUCUCUCAUUAUCAAAAAUAAGUCACCAAAGCUCAAAAAUAAACUGGGAUUAGAUACCCCACUAUAUGAGCCGUAAAAAACAACACGCCCGAGAACUACGAACUAAAGUUUAAAACUCAAAGGACUUGGCGGUUUUUUAGAUCUCUCUGGAGGAGCUUGCCACCAAACCGAUAAUCCACGAAAAACCUCACCAGUCUUAGCAUAUUCAACCUGUAUACCAUCGUCGUCAGCCUACUUCUUAAGAAUAGUAUGCAAAUAAGAACUCCACUCCAUUACGUCAGAUCGAGGUGCAGUUUAUAAACUGGAGGUGAGUGAGCUACAAUAUUCCCCCAAAAAAAACACAAUUAUGGAAAGUAUUAAUGAAAAACAAACUUGAAAUAGGAUUCAGCAGUAAUGUUAAACUAAGAAAAUCAACAUGAAAACCCCCACAGCUCUAAAAUGCGCACACAUCGCCCGUCACUCUCGUCCUAAGAGGAGAAAAGUCGUAACAAAGUAGGCGUAUUGGAAAAUGCGCCUGGUAUAAAUUUUUAUAGUUGAAAUACAMCAGUAGCUUUCAUGUUUCAAGUU
rnacentral:ncRNA from 1 species